AUACGGAGGAUCCGAGCGUUAUCCGGAUUUAUUGGGUUUAAAGGGUGCGCAGGCGGCCAUUUAAGUCAGCGGUUAAAUCGUGGGGCUCAACCCCAUUCUGCCGUUGAUACUGGGUGGCUUGAUUGCGGUCGAGGUUGGCGGAAUUCGUUGUGUAGCGGUGAAAUGCAUAGAUAUGACGAAGAACACCGAUUGCGUAGGCAGCUGACCAGACCGCAAAUGACGCUCAUGCGCGAAAGUGCGGGGAUCGAACAGGAUUAGAUACCCUGGUAGUCCGCACAGUAAACGAUGAAUACUUGUUUUCGGCGAUAUAAUGUCGGAGGCAAAGCGAAAGCGAUAAGUAUUCCACCUGGGGAGUACGCCGGCAACGGUGAAACUCAAAUGAAUUGGCGGGG
rnacentral:rRNA from 1 species